rnacentral:rRNA from 1 species
GACGAACGCUGGCGGCGUGCUUAACACAUGCAAGUCGAACGGAAAGGCCCUGCUUUUGUGGGGUGCUCGAGUGGCGAACGGGUGAGUAACGCGUGAGUAACCUGCCCUUGACUUUGGGAUAACUUCAGGAAACUGGGGCUAAUACCGGAUAGGAGCUCCUGCUGCAUGGUGGGGGUUGGAAAGUUUCGGCGGUUGGGGAUGGACUCGCGGCUUAUCAGCUUGUUGGUGGGGUAGUGGCUUACCAAGGCUUUGACGGGUAGCCGGCCUGAGAGGGUGACCGGCCACAUUGGGACUGAGAUACGGCCCAGACUCCUACGGGAGGCAGCAGUGGGGAAUAUUGCACGAUGGGCGGAAGCCUGAUGCAGCAACGCCGCGUGCGGGAUGACGGCCUUCGGGUUGUAAACCGCUUUCGCCUGUGACGAAGCGUGAGUGACGGUAAUGGGUAAAGAAGCACCGGCUAACUACGUG